rnacentral:antisense_RNA from 1 species
CUGCCCGGCUGCUCUUGCAGUUGGCUCGACAUCCAGCCCAGCUCCGGGAAGUCCUGGUCAGCUCGACCAUUCCAAAGCAGGAAGGUACGAUGGUAGCCUGCCUUGCUCAGGGUUUCCAGGAUGUUGCCAGCAGUGGCGUUCUUCACAGCCACGGAGCUGGUAGAGGUGCCGAAGAUUUUCUUCGCACUCAUCGACUCGAUGGUAGCAGCCACUUCCAGGACAUCUGCCGGGACGUGAGAUUCGAUGGUAGCACCGUACCACUUGCUGUUCGCAGCGCUUACUGCCAGGAUAGCGGCACCCCAGCCCUCGGUGGACGGCAUGUUCGACUUCGACAGGUUUGCCGAGGUAGUCAGCGACCAGGAGGUGCUGGAGCUGCGAACGGUGAUGGUACCGUCGGUAUUGUCGGUCAGAGUGAUGCCAACGACCGGGCUGACGUUGAAAGCUGCUACCAGGCCUGCGCAGAUGGUUACUGCCGUGUCUGCCGGCUCGUCAUCUUCAUCCACAGGUUCCGGUUUCGACAGGUAGCUCACCGGAAUACCGUUCAGGGUCAUGGUGUAGGUGGUCUGCGGUGCAACCUCUACAAUGGAGACAGUGGCGCCUGGCACGUUGCGGCGACCAACAACCAGGCGGUUGGGGCGCGGGUUCUGUGCGAAGGCCAUACGAGCUGCCUGCAUUACGGAGCUAUUGUUCGG